UGGGGAAUUUUGGACAAUGGGCGCAAGCCUGAUCCAGCAAUGCCGCGUGCAGGAUGAAGGCCCUCAGGGUUGUAAACGGCUUUUAUUCGGGGAGAAGAGCAUGGAUGCGUCUGUGUGUGACGGUACCGAAUGAAUAAGCACCGGCUAACUACGUGCCAGCAGCCGCGGUAAUACGUAGGGUGCAAGCGUUAAUCGGAAUUACUGGGCGUAAAGCGUGCGCCGGCGGUUAUGUAAGACAGAUGUGAAAUCCCCGGGCUCAACCUGGGACCUGCAUUUGUGACUGCAUAGCUAGAGUACGGCAGAGGGGGAUGGAAUUCCGCGUGUAGCAGUGAAAUGCGUAGAUAUGCGGAGGAACACCGAUGGCGAAGGCAAUCCCCUGGGCCUGUACUGACGCUCAUGCACGAAAGCGUGGGGAGCAAACA
rnacentral:rRNA from 1 species